AAUAUUGGACAAUGGGCGAAAGCCUGAUCCAGCCAUGCCGCUUGUGUGAAGAAGGUCUUCGGAUUAAAAAGCACUUUAAGUUGGGAAGAAUGGAAGUAAGUUACUACCUUGCUGUUUUGACGUUAGCGACAGAAUAAGCACAGGCUAACUUCGUGCUAGACUCCGCGGUAAUACGAAGGGUGCAAUCGUUAAUCGGAAUUACUGGGCGUAAAGCGCGCGUAGGUGGUUCGUUAAGUUGGAAGUGAAAGCCCCGGGCUUAACCUGGGAAUUGCUUUCAAAACUGACGAGCUAGAGUACGGUAGAGGGUAGUGGAAUUUCCUGUGUAGCGGUGAAAUGCGUAGAUAUAGGAAGGAACAUCAGUGGCGAAGGCGACUACCUGGACUGAUACUGACACUGAGGUGCGAAAGCGUGGGGAGCAAACAGG
rnacentral:rRNA from 1 species